AUUGAACGCUGGCGGCAUGCCUUACACAUGCAAGUCGAACGGCAGCGGGCCUUCGGGUGCCGGCGAGUGGCGAACGGGUGAGUAAUGCAUCGGAACGUGCCAUUGAGUGGGGGAUAACGUAGCGAAAGUUACGCUAAUACCGCAUAUUCUGUGAGCAGGAAAGCAGGGGACCGCAAGGCCUUGCGCUCUUUGAGCGGCCGAUGUCAGAUUAGCUAGUUGGUGAGGUAAAGGCUUACCAAGGCGACGAUCUGUAGCGGGUCUGAGAGGAUGAUCCGCCACACUGGAACUGAGACACGGUCCAGACUCCUACGGGAGGCAGCAGUGGGGAAUUUUGGACAAUGGGCGCAAGCCUGAUCCAGCCAUGCCGCGUGAGUGAAGAAGGCCUCGGGUUGUAAGACGUCUUUCGGUCCGGGAACGGAAAGUACG
rnacentral:rRNA from 1 species